rnacentral:rRNA from 1 species
UACAGAGGGGGGCAAGCGUUUAUUCGGAAUUAUUGGGCGUAAAGAGCUCGUAGGCGGUUUGUCACGUCUGCUGUGAAAACUGGAGGCUCAACCUCCAGCCUGCAGUGGGUACGGGCAGACUAGAGUGCGGUAGGGGAGACUGGAAUUCCUGGUGUAGCGGUGGAAUGCGCAGAUAUCAGGAGGAACACCGGUGGCGAAGGCGGGGUCUCUGGGGCCGAAAC